AUUGAACGCUGGCGGCAUGCCUUACACAUGCAAGUCGAACGGUAACGCGGGGCAACCUGGCGACGAGUGGCGAACGGGUGAGUAAUAUAUCGGAACGUGCCCAGUAGUGGGGGAUAGCCCGGCGAAAGCCGGAUUAAUACCGCAUACGACCUACGGGUGAAAGCGGGGGAUCGCAAGACCUCGCGCUAUUGGAGCGGCCGAUAUCAGAUUAGCUAGUUGGUGGGGUAAAAGCCUACCAAGGCGACGAUCUGUAGCUGGUCUGAGAGGACGACCAGCCACACUGGGACUGAGACACGGCCCAGACUCCUACGGGAGGCAGCAGUGGGGAAUUUUGGACAAUGGGCGCAAGCCUGAUCCAGCCAUGCCGCGUGUGGGAAGAAGGCCUUCGGGUUGUAAACCACUUUUGUCGGGGAAGAAACGGUCUGGUCUAAUAAACCGGACUAAUGACGGUACCUGAAGAAUAAGCACCGGCUAACUACGUGCCAGCCGCCGCAGUAA
rnacentral:rRNA from 1 species